rnacentral:rRNA from 1 species
UACGUAGGGUGCAAGCGUUGUCCGGAAUUAUUGGGCGUAAAGAGCUCGUAGGCGGUCUGUCGCGUCGGCUGUGAAAACCCGGGGCUCAACCCCGGGCCUGCAGUCGAUACGGGCAGACUAGAGUGCGGUAGGGGAGACUGGAAUUCCUGGUGUAGCGGUGAAAUGCGCAGAUAUCGGGAGGAACACCAGUGGCGAAGGCGGCGACCUGGGCCAAUAUUGACGCUGAGGUGCGAAAGCGUGGGGAGCAAACAGG